CCUCUGAUGAAACCAAACUCAAGCAUAGUUCACACUGAAACGAUCGUGUUGAUAACUAUAUAUCUUUCGUCUUUCGCUCCUAUCUGA
rnacentral:snoRNA from 1 species